rnacentral:lncRNA from 1 species
GAGAACAUAAUACAUAUAGGAAAUAAAGCGUAACAAGGCUGAAGCAGGUGUGUCAGCAGCAGGAGGAGGCCCAAUCGCCCUGAGGCCACGAGGUGCUCACGUGAGGUUCUUCUUCGUACCACCUUUCUGCAUAUCUGACAGCUAUUUCUCCCCCUCAGAACUGUACUGCCCAGGCCGACCCACUUUGCCCACCUUGUUGCAGCAUCGUGGUGAAUGACACAAAUAUUUUUCUGUCUGUGUGUCAUUGUUUCCCAACUAUCUUGACUCGUGGCCACUGAGAAUUCUGUUUCCCAUAAAAAUUAACACUUGAUUUUCCCUAAAACCUCCUCUUUCCUCCACCUGUUUGUGAGGUUGGCAGUGGUUGCUUCUGUGGGGCUUGGGGCUCUCCCCAUGUCCAAAUCAGACACCUCAGCAGCCUUCAGGUGGCCAGUCUGGGAAACUCUGACCGAAGUAGGAAAGGAAUCCAACCUCACAGUGUGGUGGACACAGAACAGGCCAAGAUGAUGGACCAAGCUGUUUCCUUUGCAUUCUUGAUGUAACCUGCUCGAUUCCAGGACUCAGAGACCCGGCCUGUCCACCAGAGGCCUCUCCCUCCGUGUUGUUGAGAAAUCACAAGGAGCACUUCUCUGCAAAGCAAACCUUUUCUCCUGGGCUCGAGUAAGAAAGGGACCCGGACAAUUCAGCCCAUCCACACACAAUCUUUCCUGUGACCCCAGCACUGAGCCUGUGUCACAUCUGAACCCUGGGAGUCACAAAGGAUCCUUCUGGGAAAGCCAAAGUUCCAGCAGGGCUGGCCACGAGAGCAGAGAGGGGAAGCAGUGGAGGGAAGGGGCCCAUGGGAUGUGGGCCCCAGCCAGGGCUAGCGUGUCUGUCCUCCGUCUGCCUCCCGCUCCUCUGCCCACUGGCCGGUGGCCACGCUGUCCUGCCUACCCUGCCCCACAGCCAUCUUCCUCAAGGGUAGUGCUCAGAAUGCCAUGGAAGGCAGGGCCUUGCUGGUUUGGGAGCUCAGACCUGUCGAUGCCUUGAAGGCACGGAUCCAAGGUGACCCCAGGUGACUCGUGGUCCCCAACUCAGAUCCAGGAUGUAGCCUGCUCAGGACAAAGCAGGGGAUGGCUGCAGAGCUCCCAGACUUGGAGCACACCUGCGGGGAGGGCGCCGGGGGUUCCCGGGUCUGGCGGAGCCAGGUCGUCCAGUCCGCAGGUGACGUCGACGUGCAGACACAGCCUCUGCACAGGGCCCGGGGAGGAGCUCAGCUCAGGGUUCAGGAGCAGGUUUAUCCUCCGCCCCUGUGCACGCAGGCAUGUGCCCGGACAAAGCUUUCUUAAUAGCAAAAGACUGAAGACACCUUGCAUUUGCGUCGGAAGGGCACAAUUUGCAGACUCGCAGGAAGGUGCACCGCAGGACUCGUAUCCGUCCCCUGGCGCUGCCGCAGCAGGUCACCACACCACAGCAGCGGCCAAUAGCGCCGUAGACAGUCUCAGGCUCUGUAGGUCAGAGGGCUGGUGGGCUCAGCUGGGUCGUCUGCUGAAAUUGAGGGGUCACCAGCACGGCUCCUAUGGGGGCUCCGGGAAGAAGGCACCACCCGCUUGUGCAGGCUGUGCUCAGGAUCCGGGUCCUUGCUGGCCGUGGUCGGAGGGUGUCCCCAGCACUUCUGGCUCGGGCCUCUGCCUCCACCUUCAAAGCCAGCAAAAGCGGUGGGGUCUCUCCCACACUUGGAGUCUCUUAGUCUCCCCAUCCUGCCUCUGGAGAUGCCCCAGAAGUUCUCUGCUUUUAAAGGUUUAUGUGACUUGGAGCCCCCCUGGAAAUUCAGAAUAUUCUUCGUACCUUAGUGUUUAUGGCCUUAGUGCCAUCUGCAGAUUCCCUUUGCCCUGGUGUGGAAGGGCCCGUGUGAACAGGAUCCAGCCCUCGGGGGUGGGCGGCCUGCCUCCCACGGACGCCGGGCAGCUGUCGCUGGAAUGAGGCACGUCUGAGUGUGCGUGGACGGGUGGGGUGCAAGCUGCAGUUAGGUGUUAGUGCUGACACGGGGCGGCCCAUUUGCCCACGUUCCUGUGCUGCUGGCUGGUCCCUUCAGGAGGGCAGCAGCCUCCCGGGCCGCCUCUGGGAGGCCUUAAGGGGCAGCAGGGAAGGCAUUUUUCUGCACCAGCUUUGCCACUCUUUGGUGUCGUAAGCGGACUGGGAAGCUAUUUUGGGGUCCCCGGCGAGUAACUGCCAGAAAGCCGUUUAAAGUCACCUACAGGUACUUGCCUUUGAAGAGCCGGCAGCUCCGCCGGGCGUGUGCCGGUGGCCAGCAGUGAGGCUGUUGUCAUGGUUCCUUGGAUUACACGUGGCGUUGGCUUCUGGAUGGAUGAGAAGCGCUUACGUGCGUGCUCGGCUGGGGAGGUGUGCUGGAGUGUGUUCUGGGGCCGUGGGAGGCUGUGCUGGGCUUCCUUUUAUUUUUAGGGGUGUCAGCAUGUCGGGGUACAGCACCUACCACUCUUCCAGCAGCACGUGGGCUCUUCUCGGGGAAAGAGCCACAUCUACGGGUGCGUGAGAAAGCCAAGCAUCCCCUGCUCAGCAGCUUCAGGCUGGAAGGCAUCCAGGUGACACGAGGAGAGACGCAGCGCCAGGCACACGGAGUCGGAGUGACUCAUGGCAUGUUGGGGAAAUACAGCUAAAAACAGA